rnacentral:rRNA from 1 species
UUCCGCCUAUAGAGGAUGAAGGAGCUGAUAUCAGGCACAAUACUUUGCCCAAGACAUCUAGCCAUGCCACACCCACAAGGGUUCUCAGCAGUGAUUAACAUUUUUUAAUAAACGUCAGUUUGAUUUAGUCAGUGAAAGCAGAGCCGGCCAAUCUGGUGCCAGCCGCCGCGGUUACACCACGAGGCUCAAAUUGAUUUCCUUCGGCGUAAAGCGUGAUUAAAGAGAUACUCUUAUUAAGGUUAAAUUUUAACUAAACUGUCACACGUUUGUUAUAACAAACUCACAUUUCGAAAGAUACCUUAACUUAUUAACUUGAACUCACGACAACUGGGACACAAACUGGGAUUAGAUACCCCAUUAUGCUCAGUUAUAAACUUUAACUUACCCCCCCAUUCGCCAGGGAACUACGAGCAAAGCUUGAAACCCAAAGGACUUGACGGUGCCCCAUAUCCCCCUAGAGGAGCCUGUCCUAUAAUCGAUACUCCCCGCUCUACCCUACCAUUUUUAGUCAUCAGCUUGUAUACUUCCGUCGACAGCUUACCGUGUGAACGUAAAGUAAGCCUAAUGUUUAUUCAUCAAUACGUCAGGUCAAAGUGCAGCAUAUAAAAUGGAAAGAGAUGGGCUACACUUUCUACAAUAGAAGAUACGGAAGUCUAUGUGAAACCUUAUUCUAAAGGCGGAUUUAGUAGUAAAAAGAAAAUAAUACAUCCUUUUUAAAUUGCGCUGGGGCGUGUACACACCGCCCGUCACCCUCUUCGACAAAUCACCUUAGUU